rnacentral:rRNA from 1 species
AAAGCUCANAUUUGAAAUCUAGCACUUUCAGUGUUCGAGUUGUAAUUUGAAGAAGGUAUCUUUGGAGUUGGCCCCCGUCUAUGUUCCUUGGAACAGGACGUCACAGAGGGUGAGAAUCCCGUGCGAUGGGGAGACCAAUUCUAUGUAAAGUUCCUUCGAAGAGUCGAGUUGUUUGGGAAUGCAGCUCUAAGUGGGUGGUAAAUUCCAUCUAAAGCUAAAUAUUGGCGAGAGACCGAUAGCGAACAAGUACAGUGAUGGAAAGAUGAAAAGAACUUUGAAAAGAGAGUGAAAAAGUACGUGAAAUUGUUGAAAGGGAAGGGCUUUUGAUCAGACUUGGUGUUUAGUACUCUCUACUCCUUGUGGGUGGGGCUCUUGCUUUAUACUGGGCCAGCAUCGGUUUGGAUGGUAGGAUAAUAGCAUUGGAAUGUGGCUUCAUUCGUGAAGUGUUAUAGCCCUUGUUGAUACUACCUAUCUAGACCGAGGACUGCGUCUUUUGACUAGGAUGCUGGCGUAAUGAUUAAAAGCC